rnacentral:rRNA from 1 species
CCUACGGGAGGCAGCAGUGGGGAAUUUUGGACAAUGGGCGGAAGCCUGAUCCAGCCAUGCCGCGUGCGGGAAGAAGGCCUUCGGGUUGUAAACCGCUUUUGUCAGGGAAGAAACGCCCUGGGCUAAUACCCCGGGGUAAUGACGGUACCUGAAGAAUAAGCACCGGCUAACUACGUGCCAGCAGCCGCGGUAAUACGUAGGGUGCAAGCGUUAAUCGGAAUUACUGGGCGUAAAGCGUGCGCAGGCGGCUAUGCAAGACAGAUGUGAAAUCCCCGGGCUCAACCUGGGAACUGCAUUUGUGACUGCAUAGCUAGAGUACGGUAGAGGGGGAUGGAAUUCCGCGUGUAGCAGUGAAAUGCGUAGAUAUGCGGAGGAACACCGAUGGCGAAGGCAAUCCCCUGGACCUGUACUGACGCUCAUGCACGAAAGCGUGGGGAGCAAACAGGAUUAGAUACCCUGGUAGUCCACGCCCUAAACGAUGUCAACUGGUUGUUGGGAGGGUUUCUUCUCAGUAACGUAGNUACGCGUGAGUAGACCGCCGUCGGGAGGUACGGCCGCGAGGUUAGUAACGUACGAAGGAAAGUUAGACGGCGUGAGACGUGCCGACGGACGACGACGACGGGAGGUUAGG